ensembl:lncRNA novel transcript, antisense to CCDC91
GCCCGGGUCGGGGCCCCAUGUUCAGAGCCCUGCCACCCCAGCUUGAGCGUGGUCUUUGGAGCGUUGCCCUGUGAAAAGGGGUGACUUUGCCAUGCUCCUUCCCAGUCUACCUCCUGUUAGUUACAGUUUCUCAUUCCUCUUGAGUAGCAGGCCCUGUUUCUCCACCUAAUCCCUGCAAGUAAACCGUCCCCCAAAUCAAAAUGAGUUCCAUCUGGAACUUUGUAGGAUUGGUCCUAAGAAGAUCCCGCCGAAUCUCUUCACCACUUCCUAGCAGAGCACAGUAAAACCGGGGACUAAGCAAAGUGGCUGACAUGUAGUAAGUGCUCAAGAAAUGGAUGUUGACUAGAUGCUACCUCUCAUCUUUGCCUGUCUGAACUCUCAAGCACCGGAUGCAAGUAGACUGAGAGCCUCCGCCAACCAGGUCUCGCUCUGUCACCCAGGCUGGAGUGCGCUGGCAUAAUCAUGGUUCACUGCAACCUUGAACUCCUGGGCUUGAGAGAUCUAUAUGAAUUUUAAGGCACAGUCUCACUCUCUUACCCAAUCUGGAGUGCAGUGGUGUGAUCUCGGCUCACUGCAACCUCUGCCUCAUGGGUUCAAGCAAUUCUCCUGCCUCAGCCUCCCAAGUAGCUGGGAUUACAGGCUGGAGUGCAGUGGUGCAAUCUCGGCUCACUACAACCUCCGCCUCCUGGGUUCAAGUGAUUCUUCUGCCUCAGUCUCUUGAAUAGCUGGGAUUACAGGU